AGUGAACGCUGGCGGUAGGCCUAACACAUGCAAGUCGAACGGCAGCACAGUAAGAGCUUGCUCUUACGGGUGGCGAGUGGCGGACGGGUGAGGAAUACAUCGGAAUCUACUUUUUCGUGGGGGAUAACGUAGGGAAACUUACGCUAAUACCGCAUACGACCUACGGGUGAAAGCAGGGGAUCUUCGGACCUUGCGCGAUUGAAUGAGCCGAUGUCGGAUUAGCUAGUUGGCGGGGUAAAGGCCCACCAAGGCGACGAUCCGUAGCUGGUCUGAGAGGAUGAUCAGCCACACUGGAACUGAGACACGGUCCAGACUCCUACGGGAGGCAGCAGUGGGGAAUAUUGGACAAUGGGCGCAAGCCUGAUCCGGCCAUACCGCGUGGGUGAAGAAGGCCUUCGGGUUGUAAAGCCCUUUUGUUGGGAAAGAAAAGCAGCAGGUUAAUACCCCGCUGUUCUGACGGGACCCAAAGAAUAAGCACCGGCUAACUUCGU
rnacentral:rRNA from 1 species